rnacentral:rRNA from 1 species
ACAGCAGUAGCCGCGGUAAUGCGAAGGGUGCAAGCGUUACUCGGAAUUACUGGGCGUAAAGCGUGCGUAGGUGGUGGUUUAAGUCCGUUGUGAAAGCCCUGGGCUCAACCUGGGAAUUGCAGUGGAUACUGGGUCACUAGAGUGUGGUAGAGGAUAGUGGAAUUUCCGGUGUAGCAGUGAAAUGCGUAGAGAUCGGAAGGAACAUCUGUGGCGAAGGCGACUAUCUGGGCCAACACUGACACUGAGGCACGAAAGCGUGGGGAGCAAACAGGAUUAGAUACCCCCGUAGUCCCUGUCUCUUAUAC